CAGUGCGUUGCCUUUCUCUUCAUUCAGUACUCUCAUUCCUAAUCCUAUGUUUUCUCAUAGGUCCCAAGGACCAGCCGGACCUUUCCUUUGAACCCUAGGCACUGGCAUGCAUUUGCUUUCUCUUCGCCUCCCCUCAGGGGUCUCAAGGCAUCUUUAAGAAGGAGACUAAGUUUUCCCCUGGUGAUAAGAGGAAUUCAAAGGCUGCAUUAGGACCUCAUGAGAAAAACUGCCGUUGAAGAUGUGAGGAUAAAUGUCGUGCGUGAGAGCUUCAGGGUGUCCUGGGACGAAUCACCGGCCUUGGCCAUCUCUAGAAACUCUGCAUCCUGCCAUCAGUUCUCUCGGGAGGCAGCAGUAGUCUGAAAGGACACUGUACUGCUUUUGCGAAUGAGAUCCGAUAAUGAGACUGUGGAGCCUUUAAUUUAUGAUGCAUCUGACAGCAUGGUGGUGGACCUGAUUUGGGAUGCAUCUGAUUAUGUCUGCGAGCUGAAAAUAAACCAGCUGGUAUUUGUUCUGAAAGCGUUCUGAGAACACCCUCCUGUUAAUGGCCCGUGGCUUGAUCCGGCGUCUGGUAAACUAAUACUUUGUCAUUUUUACCAUGAAAGUCAGCUCAAAUCAUUAAUGAUCCCAUACCCAUUUGCAGUCUUCUCUUGUCUAGAAUACACCAAUUACUAAGAAAUUAUUCCUAUUAGCUACAUGAUUGAAUGAUAGUAACCUGCCUGUAACUUGUUGGCAGAAAUUCUCUCGUAAUGACAAUAAUGGGCUGUACUUUUGAGUCCUUGCAGGACUCUGUUAAACAGGGAGGGUAGUUAUCAUAUGUUUCUGACCUAUCGUGAACAAUCCUUCUUAAUGACUGUGAAUUGGAGGAAAUGUGAUGUUUUGUAGAUUUGUUUGAAUAUGGGAAUUUACUGUUUUUGUUUAAGUUGUUUGGGGGAAGGAGUCACUGUGCACCAUUCAAAAUGAUGUUUAGAGACCACUUUUUGAUGUGUGCAGAUUGUGAUCAUUGCCAGUAUAUGGAGCCUACCACGGUCUUGCUCUCACGAUGCACAAUGUCUGAUUUUUAAAUAAGAUCCUUCUUAUGUAAUUAUCACCAAAGAAACAGUACCCAUCAGCAUAAGUGACUCUACGAAAAAUACAGAAAGUCUGAAGUCCAAUACUGUCAUGAGAUUGAUAAAUUGAUUUACUUUUUUUUUUUUUUUUU
rnacentral:lncRNA from 1 species